rnacentral:lncRNA from 1 species
ACAUCCAAAUUUGGUUAAAAUCUGAUUUUGUUUGGUAUGUUCAAAUCGAAUUUGAAUUGGAUACCAUAUAAAUAAUAUUUGACAUUAUCUGCAAAACCUUACCGCCAACUUAUUUUUUUUUCUCCUUAUGUGAGUGACAUUUUGAGGAGAUUUUUUAUAAAAAAUUAGUUGAAGAAUUGAUUUAUCAUGAAAACAUAUGGGAAGGGGUGUUUCAUAUUUCUUUUGGAUAUGUUUUGGCAUGAAAUUGAGAGAGGGUGCGACAUCUCUUGGAAGAGUCCAAGAUCUCUUAGAC